rnacentral:rRNA from 1 species
GAUGAACGCUGGCGGCGUGCCUAAUACAUGCAAGUCGAGCGAACGGACGAGAAGCUUGCUUCUCUGAUGUUAGCGGCGGACGGGUGAGUAACACGUGGAUAACCUACCUAUAAGACUGGGAUAACUUCGGGAAACCGGAGCUAAUACCGGAUGAUAUUUUGAACCGCAUGGUUCAAAAGUGAAAGACGGUCUUGCUGUCACUUAUAGAUGGAUCCGCGCUGCAUUAGCUAGUUGGUAAGGUAACGGCUUACCAAGGCAACGAUGCAUAGCCGACCUGAGAGGGUGAUCGGCCACACGGGAACUGAGACACGGUCCAGACUCCUACGGGAGGCAGCAGUAGGGAAUCUUCCGCAAUGGGCGAAAGCCGGACGGAGCAACGCCGCGUGAGUGAUGAAGGUCUUCGGAUCGUAAAACUCUGUUAUUAGGGAAGAACAUAUGUGUAAGUAACUGUGCACAUCUUGACGGUACCUAAUCAGAAAGCCACGGCUAACUACGUG